rnacentral:rRNA from 1 species
UACGUAGGGGGCUAGCGUUGUCCGGAUUUAUUGGGCGUAAAGAGCGUGUAGGCGGCCAGGUAGGUCUGGUGUGAAAACUCGAGGCUUAACCUCGAGAUGUCAUCGGAAACCAUCUGGCUAGAGUCCGGAAGAGGAGAGUGGAAUUCCUGGUGUAGCGGUGAAAUGCGUAGAUAUCUGGGAGAACACCGGUGGCGAAGGCGGCGUUCUGGACUGCAACUGACACUGAAAAACGAAAGCCAGGGGAGCAAACGGG